ANUCNAUCUNNCCUANGANNANUAAAUGGCCGCGGUAUUUUGACCGUGCNNAGGUAGCAUAAUAAUUAGUUUUUUANUUGAAAGCUGGAAUGAAUGAUUGGACGAGAAAAUAACUGUCUCAAUUUAAUUUUAUUANAAUUUUAUUUUUAAGUAAAAAAGCUUAAAUAGUAUUAAAAGACGAGAAGACCCUAUAGAGUUUUAUAAUUGGGUGAUUAUUAAUUUUUUAGAAUUAUUUUAUUAAUAUUCAAUUAAUUAUUUUGUUGGGGCGAUAGAAAAAUAUAAAUAACUUUUUUUAAAAAUUUUUAACAUUGAUUUAUGAUUUUAUGAUCCAUUAUUUAUGAUUAGAAGAUUAAGUUACCUUAGGGAUAACAGCGUUAUUUUUUUUUAGAGUUCUUAUCGAAAAAAAAGAUUGCGACCUCGAUGUUGGAUUAAAAUUAAAACUUGGUGCAGAAGCUUAGUUAUUAGGUCUGUUCGACCUUUAAAAUUUUACA
rnacentral:rRNA from 1 species